GAGUGUGGGUGGCAGGGUACAAUUUAGCUUCAGUAAAAAUGCAUGCAGCUGAGCUUCAAAAGCCAUACUAGCCUUCACAGAAAAGAUGAAAAAGCCUCGAAUUUAAAAAAAAAAAAUAAAAUAAAGCUUUAGGUUAAAAACAAACAAAAACAAAAAAAGAGAGAGAAUGUCCAAGGUCAGUUUAAGACAACCCAAUUUUUUUUUUUUAUGGGACUAGAACCAUCCUCUGGUUUACAACAUUAAAGAGGAUAGCUUCAUGGCAACAAAGUCCUUAGCUCCUUUUAUGUUUCAGUAGAAUUGCAAAUUCAGUAACGUUAUGAUCUUACUACAACAAAACUACAUCCGCAAGUUGUUUUUUUUUUACACAACUAGUCAAGGGCCUGGAAUAAAUCAAGGCAUAGUCUGGCUCCAUUUGCACUGAAAACACUGCAUAACACAUACUCUUUCAUAUGCAACUACCUACUACAGCUCUGGGAAGCAGUCUGUACAGUCACAAUGCAUUUAAGGAGUCUGGAUCCUGAAGCUUCUGGUCCUUCCACAAGAGCCUGUUUUUUUUCCCCACAAUCACAAUCUAUUUCCAAGACAUUCUGUUCUUUUCACUUACUUUUUUUUUUUCCCCUAUAUAUUCAGGGAAUAUAUAUUUGAAAAUGUGACUAUAGCAGUUUUUCUUUCUACAUUGCUUUAUUUCAUGAUAUUUGUUGAACUUAUGCACUUUCUAUUCAGAAAUUAGAUGAACUGUACAGGCUAUUGGUUUUGAUCCAAAAAAUCUGAAUUCUCUUACCAUGCUUCAAAUUAACCACAUCAGGACUGAAACACUGGAGAGGCAGGAAACAAAGAGAGCAAAGAUUUCACUGGCAACAAGACACAACAAUAUAAUACAAAAAUAGACUCAGAAUUUUAGAGGUAUUAGAGUACCCAGCUUUCAGAAACAGACAAUUUCUUCCUUUCCAAAAAUUUCAGAUCUAAGGAAAACAGCAUUAACUGCCAAUACACUGAACUCCCUCCCUGCAAUACAGGUUUUAUUACAAAUAAUAAAAGGAGGAAAAAUAUGAUUAGUGAUGAAUGUUCACAGUGAUAACUUUUCCUAGAUAUUGUCUAUAGAGGGGAAGCAUGACAGUGGUCCAAGAAGCAGAAGGCCCAGUCUGACUAGGUUUGCAACGAGCAGCUCUUAAACACAGAGAGGUCUGUGUUUUUGGAAAGGAUAUGGAAGCAAGGCAAAUUCUCAAGAAUAAGGCAGAAUCUGGAAAGUAUCAAUUAAAAGAAAUAAAAAGAAAUAAGUCAAAAGCAUUCAAAAAGAUACAGCACAGUGCCAUGUCUGCCAUUUGCAUCUCCACUGCUAAAUAAUGGUUAAAGCAGAUGGAGGAUCAUGGCAAACUGAAGGAACAAAAAAAUACGAAGAUUCAUCUGCAACAAGAGAAUAAAAAAGAAAAAGCUCUACUUAGAGCUGAAUAACAUGCCAGAUUGCCCAGAGAAGGUGGGGGGGGAGAGCACUCUGAGAAAAGCAGAGAGAAAAGUGUUACACUUAAAAAUGAAGCAAGGAGCAGAAUGAAGAUUGCACUGCCCCCAUGGAGAGAUAAUGAGAUGUCACUUCCAGUACAGAAGUCAAAAGAGGUCAACUUAAAGAGUAAGUAGAAACCCAGAGAAAACAGAGGCGAGUAGACGAUAGCAGAGACAAUGUGAACAGAGUAUGUAAAUUAAUUUCUUACAAUCCUGAUCACAUGGAUCAUGUGAAAUGGUGUCAAGGAAACCGAAUUUUGUUUUUUAGCAGGAGAUGGUAGGAAUGGGGACAAAACAAAUUGGCAAUUAAAAAGUAAGAACAAUAUUAUGUAUUUUCAAACUUCACCACAGAUACUGCCAGAAGCCCAAGUGGAAAUGCUUACAGACAUGGAAUAAUGUGAGUGUGUGAGGAAAAUUCCUACUACGUGAUGUUGAAUAAAGGACUUAGAAGCACAUUAAAAGGUCAAAUCUGAUCUCUGGCUGUGGAGAGAAUAUCAGUUAGAGCAGAAAUAUAGACCCAAAUACUUGGUCUGAAAAAAACAGAAAAUUUGUUUUGGAAGAGACCUUAAAAAGUCAUCCAAUUCAACUGCUCUGUAAUGAACAGGAACAUCCAAAGAUAGAUCAAGUUGUCCAGAGCCUGGUCCAGCCUGACGUUGAAUGUCUCCAGUAAUGGGGCAUCCACCACUUCUCUGGGCAACCUGUGCUUUACCAUCAGUAUUGUCAAAAAAGUUUUUCAUUCUAUCCAAUCUAAAUUCUCCUCUCUGUUAGUUUGAAAGCAUUUCUCCUUGUCUGGUCACAGAGGUCCCUGAUAAAUAUUCUGUCCCCUUCUUUCUUAUAGCUCCCCCUUUAGAUACUGAAAGGCUACUUCCAUGUCUUCCCAGAACCUUUUCUUCUCCAGGUUGAAUAGCCCCAGCUCUCUUGGCCUACUGUCAUAGGAGAAGCAUUCCAUCCCUUGGAUCAUUUUUGUGGCCCUCCUCUGGAUACACUCUAACAGGUCCAUGUCUCUCCUAUACUGAGGACUCCACAUCUGGAUGAAAUAUUCCAGGUGAGGUCAAACCAGUGCAGUGUAGAGGGGAAGAAUCACCUCUCUCAUCCUGUUGGUCAUACUUCUUUUGAUGCAACCAAGGAUACAGUUGUCUCUCUGAUCUGUGAGGGCACACUGCUGGCUCAUGCUCAGCUUGCCAUCCACUUGUAGCCCCAAGGCCUUUCGGGCAGGGCUGUGCUCCAUUCUUUCACUACCCGGUUUGCAUUGGUAGGUUGUACCCAGGUGCAAAACAUUGCAUUUGGCCAUGCUGAACCUCUGAAGGUUCUCUUGGACCAACUGCUCAACCUGUCUAGGUCUCUCUCUGGAUAGCAUCCCAUCCCAUGGGCGUGUCAACUGCACCACACAGUCUGGUGCCAUCUGCGAACUUGCAGGUGCACUCAACACCACUAUCAAUGUAACUUAUUAAGAUAUUAAACAACAACGGUCCCAGUAUCCCUGAUGGAUACCACUCAUCACUGACCUCCAUCCAGACACUAAGUCAUUGACCACUACUCUUAAAACUGCAUGUGACAUUGCUAUUUUCACCUGACCACCAUCACUCCUCAAAUACUAUUGAGAGUGGCUUGCCAACUACAUCAGCCAAUUCCCUCAGGACUCUGGGAUGUAUCUCAUUGGGACCCAUGGAUUUAUGGAUAUCCAGGUUCCUCGGGUGGUCACAAACCUCAUCUUAAGUUUACAAAAGGAAGGAACAUUGCUCCUCUUGUCCCCACCUUCCAAACCACCCACUUGAAGGGUUUGUGAAGACCAGUUGCUAGUAAAGACCGAGGAAAAAAAGUUGUUGAGUACCUCAGUCUUCUCUUUGUCCAUUGUUACCAGCCUGCCUGUAUGUUUAUGGGGUGGGAGGGUACACUUUCUUAGACUUUCCCUUUCUGUUUGAUGUACCUAAAGAAGACUUUCCUGUUCUUCUUUACAUCCCAUGCCAAGUCCAGUUUCAGUUGGGCUUUGGCCUUCCCAACCCAAUCCCUACACAAUCUAGCAGCAUCCUUAUACUCCUCCCAGCAUACCUGUGCCUCCUUCUACUGCCCCUGCAUUUUGUUCUUGCUUUUCAGUUUGACCAGCAGGUCCCAGUUCAGCCAUGCCAUUCUCCUACCUUUCUUUCCUGACUUCUGACACCUGGAGACUGAGAGCUUCUGUGAACAAAGGAAAGCUUCUUUAAAGAUCUGCCAGCUUUACUCCUUUCCCUUGUCUCUGGCAGCAGUUUCCCAGAGGAGUAUGUCGGAUAGCUCCUUGAAGAGCUGGAAGUAAAUAUAUAUCUUCUAAACAGACUUAAGAAAGAAGAAAUAUCAAAAUUAAAUCUGGCUAUGCUCAAGAGGCAAAGAAAUAAAGUAUUAAUUAAGGACACUGGAACACUUGACUUGCUGCCCUGAGCUAGAGGUCAGAAAACAAGUUCUGAUCCCGGCUUGAUCUCAGACCUGUCAGAGAUUAACCUCUGCCCUUGGUUCAGUUUUACUUCUUACACAAUAAACUCUCUGGAGCUAGUACUGCUCCUCACACUCCCGACACAGUGCAGUACACUCAGUUGUGUCACAUUAAAGCAACAAAGCAGGACCAGAGGAAUGAAACAAAGAAGCAGAUGGCUUACUGAUUUGGGGGAAACCUAGAAUUAUAGUUUGUUUGGGGUUUGUUUGUUAUUUUUGUUUUUUGAAGAGCAAGAAACAGAAUAAGCAGCCCAGAAGGAGAAACCGGAGAAAGCAACAAAGGCUGUGGAUGUUAUCACAGCACAUACUGUCUUGACAGUCAGCUAUAGUAAAUGACUGCAACAAUGCAGAAGAUGGAAGACAGAAAUUCAUAAGAGUGUGGGAAGAUGAGGAACACUGGCAGAUAUAGGCUGUGUAAUGCACAGCCUGAUACACAUGAAUAUUCACAGGUCCCUAUUGGGGACAAUGCCAGGCAUGUGUCAGGCCAUCUAUUUGCUUUCAUUCACUCUCAGUAGAAAGUCUCUGAAUAUUUCUUGUCAUGGAUAAGCAUUUCAUGCACACAUCCCACGUGAUUGUACCAGAGGAUACAAAGCCCUCACACAGUGUUUCUCUUUUCCAGCCAGAUAAGCAUAGCUUUUAACCAUGUUUCCUCUGUCAACAGGUAUUUCACUUUUUUUUUUUAUAUAUCAUGUAUGUACUCAUUCAAUCAUUUUUCACUUGUGGUAAUCUUCUUGAAAGAUGAAAUGAACGUGACAUGAGAAAACAAAGCAGAAGAAAUACACUUUAAAACAUGCAAACAUUACUGAACCAAUUUUUGAAUAAGUAGAGAAAAAGGCAGAUAGAUCACAAAUAUUUUGUAUAUUUACGCUAUAAGCUGCGUCACCAUAUGGAGAGAUCCAGGCUCACUUUAAAGGAGUUCUCUUUGGCUGUGCAAGCUGCCUGCCAGCCUGAUGCACAGUGUGGCUCAUCACCCUGCUGUUAGCAGCAGUGGGACUGGACUGCUCAGAGCCUGCUCAUCUCAUUCAGGAUGCAAGCAAACUGGGCUGAGCUGACACCAGGUUUAAAACUGUGAUCACAGUAUUUAUUUAUUUUCUUUUGGAAUGAGUAGUUACAGGCAAGCAGUUGAGUGAGUGAUGAGAAGGUCCACUUAGCAGGUGAAGGCAAGAGCCUGGUAGUUUCCACCCAUGUUUAUGAGCAAUGGGAAAGAUUUUCUCCUAUCUCAGCAUCAGCCAGAGCAGGUCCUUCAAAAAUGCCCUAACAGAAAUCUCGCUGUCUUAUGCUUUAUAGCCUAAAGACAAGAGACAUGCCUCAAGCCUCCACUGUACAAAAUCCUAUGUAUUUUCACAGGCAGGAAAGGUAUCAUGCAAUAUUCCUUAAGAAUUCUAGUUAAUUACAUCAGUGCCUUUAUGUUAAACCUGUGCUUUUCCUUUGAGGUCUGUAGCAUGACCUCUUGCUCCUUGCCUUUUCCAGGAGGCUGGGUGCUCACCCUGUCAUGGCCCAGGUGACUGAAAAGUGCUCAGCCCAUAGGGAGCAUACAUAAAUCAGACAUUCUGCAUGACCCCUUCACAAUCUUGGCAUUUCUGACUGAACUAAUGAAGUUUUCUUUUUCUCACAGGAAAUCCAUGAAGGUGUUUCUUCUCCCAGUAGCUUCUAAAGUUCUGAAUACCUCAGUAGGGCUUAUUCAGACGUAUCUGGUAUACUUCAACUAAUAUAUCCACAACAGAAUAAUGUCCUGUUUAAAACUUAAAAAAUAAAGCAAAUUGAAAAUAACCACAACCUCCAGAUACAGCUCAGAAAAAAAAAAAGAAAAUAUAGUCCUGAAAACAUUGUUACAAGAUAACAUCUUGACUAGUGGUACAGAGCAGGGUAGUCACACUUGAGCUGUUUGCUGAUUCUUAACAGUAUUACUAAGAGUGAAAAAUUAAGAAGUCAGAGGAAAAGCUGGUGAAAGCUUCUAAUUUGAAACCUUAACUGCAAAGUAAAGCCUAACAGUUCUAGCCCUACAAUACAUCCUCGUGAAGGAGCAACCUGUGACCUUGCAGGGAACAAUCAGCAUGCUGAAAAGAGUGAAUGAGUCACAGAAUCACAGGGUUUGGAAGACAACUCUGGAGAUCAGCUAGUCCAACUCCCCACUAAAGGAGGUCCUGUAGGCUACACUGGAGAGGAAAGCGUGAGCAAGCAACCUUCUGUGAUAUGAGCACUUAGUAUAAAAGCAAUCCUGAUGUAGAGAUUGCCAGCAGCCUGUACUGCAAGCAAACUAGAACAGACAAGAAGUGUCUAAGUUUCAGAAAACUUAUUACUCCACCUGUACUGUCACAAGUUCACUGGGUCAGAUAGGAUCUAGCCAAUAGUGACAAGGGAGCUGGCAGAGUUGAUUGCCAAGCCACUUUCCACCAUCUAUAAGUGUUCCUGGUCAACCAGAGGGGCUUAUUCUGCUCCUUAUCCCAGAUUUAUAGGUCGGGGGGCUACAGAUUAAAGACACUCAUACGAAAAUAACACCCUUAUGCUGAUUUACUGUCACUCCUAAGAUCUUUAAUGAGAAUGCCUGGGUACCAACGGGUGCAAGCAAUUGUUUGCAUUGCAGUACUAACACCACUGAGGAAAUCAGGCUCAGGGGAGGCCUCACUUCAUGGAACUCCCUGAAAGGAGGCUGUAGCCAGGUGGGGGUCAGCCUCUUCUCCCAAAUAUGAGAAGAGGAACGAGAGGUAAUCAGCGGCCAACAGCCCACAAGUGAAGCCUGGAGAACAUCAUGGCAACACGUAAACACUCUACUGGAUACUGAUGGAGCCACAGGCCCCGCAGCAUCCAGGUAGGGCCAGGAGGGUGGAUGUGCCGCCCAGUGCCUUCGGCAGCACCAACACGCCGGGUUCCAGAAGGGCUGCAUCCGGCAAGAGCCACUGCCCUCCUGCUUGGGUGCCCUCAGCCCUGUGAGGUGUGAUGGUUCCACAGGGGGUGGCACAGAACAGCCAUUGUGACUUGCAGGGUUUAGAGCAGAGCUGAGGCUGCGGGGCUCAGGCCCAGCUCAGUGCGACUUGUGAGGUGAGCAGGGAGGAAGGGGCUGCCUGAGGCUGCCGAGGGAGGGAGGAGGGUUCCCUAGCGCUCGGGGACCUGAGCUGCCAACUCAUCCUCGUCCCGCUUCUCCCAUAGGUUGGCACACAGAGGACAAAGCCUGGUUUUACUGGGACAGAGACUCUGCGAGUGCUCGCCAUUGAUACACACGAUGUCUGAGGGGAUGUCUGAGGGGACACAGGAGGCCGCCGGCUCGACUGAGCUAGCAUGCGUGCUCUGUGGCCAAGUGGAUAACAAGCCAUCCAUCUUCGGCAAGAGAUACGAGAUGUAUGGGCUAUGUUUCCAUGCAUAUUGUGUGGGAUUUGCCAACGGUCUUUGCCAACAUGGCAUAGACAAUCAAAACAGGGGACUUUUUCACAUUGAACACCUCAUUGACUUGAUGAGGGUGGCAGCGCAGA